rnacentral:rRNA from 1 species
GUGUCAGCCGCCGCGGUAAAACGUAGGGGGCGAGCGUUAUCCGGAUUUAUUGGGCGUAAAGCGCACGUAGGUGGCGCUGUAAGUUGGACGUGAAAGCUCCUGGCUCAACUGGGAGAGGUCGUUCAAGACUGCAGUGCUUGAGGUUGGAAGAGGAGAGUGGAAUUCCCGGUGUAGUGGUGGAAUGCGUAGAUAUCGGGAGGAACACCAGUGGCGAAAGCGACUCUCUGGUCCACACCUGACACUGAGGUGCGAAAGCGUGGGGAGCAAACGGGAUUAGAUACCCGAGUAGUCC